rnacentral:rRNA from 1 species
UACAGAGGUCUCAAGCGUUGUUCGGAUUCAUUGGGCGUAAAGGGUGUGUAGGUGGCGCGCUAAGUCGGGUGUGAAAUUUCGGAGCUUAACUCCGAAACUGCAUUCGAUACUGGCGUGCUUGAGGACUGGAGAGGAGACUGGAAUUCAUGGUGUAGCAGUGAAAUGCGUAGAGAUCAUGAGGAAGACCAGUGGCGAAGGCGGGUCUCUGGACAGUUCCUGACACUGAGACACGAAGGCCAGGGAGGCAAACGGG